rnacentral:rRNA from 1 species
GUAAUACAUCGGAACGUACCCAGUAGCGGGGGAUAGCCCGGCGAAAGCCGGAUUAAUACCGCAUACGCCCUACGGGGGAAAGGGGGGGAUCUUCGGACCUCUCACUAUUGGAGCGGCCGAUGGCUGAUUAGCUAGUUGGUGGGGUAAAGGCCUACCAAGGCGACGAUCAGUAGCUGGUCUGAGAGGACGACCAGCCACACUGGGACUGAGACACGGCCCAGACUCCUACGGGAGGCAGCAGUGGGGAAUUUUGGACAAUGGGCGAAAGCCUGAUCCAGCAAUGCCGCGUGUGCGAAGAAGGCCUUCGGGUUGUAAAGCACUUUUGUCAGGAAAGAAAGGGUCUGGGCUAAUAUCCCGGGCCAUUGACGGUACCUGAAGAAUAAGCACCGGCUAACUACGUGCCAGCAGCCGCGGUAAUACGUAGGGUGCAAGCGUUAAUCGGAAUUACUGGGCGUAAAGCGUGCGCAGGUGGUUUGUUAAGACAGUUGUGAAAUCCCCGGGCUCAACCUGGGAACUGCAAUUGUGACUGGCAGACUAGAGUUUGGCAGAGGGGGGUGGAAUUCCUGGUGUAGCAGUGAAAUGCGUAGAUAUCAGGAGGAACACCGAUGGCGAAGGCAGCCCCCUGGGCCAUGACUGACACUCAUGCA